CCUACGGGUGGCAGCAGUGGGGAAUAUUGCACAAUGGGCGAAAGCCUGAUGCAGCAACGCCGCGUGAGCGAUGAAGGCCUUCGGGUCGUAAAGCUCUGUCCUCAAGGAAGAGAAUGACGGUACGUGAGGAGGAAGCCCCGGCUAACUACGUGCCAGCAGCCGCGGUAAUACGUAGGGGGCUAGCGUUAUCCGGAAGUACUGGGCGUAAAGGGGGCGUAGGGGGUUUCUGAAGUCAGAGGUGAAAGGCUACGGCUCAACCGUAGGAAGCCUUUGAAACUGGGAAACUUGAGUGCAGGAGAGGAGAGUGGACUUCCUCUUGUAGCGGUGAAAUGCGUAGAUCUUAGGAGGCACCCCAGUUGCGCAGGCGGCUCUCUGGACUGUAACUGACACUGAGGCACGAAAGCGUGGGGAGCAACCAGGAUUAGAUACCCCAGUAGUC
rnacentral:rRNA from 1 species